CUGAUAAAUACCAGCAAAUAUGAGCUUACAUCCACGAGUACCUGGAUUGAGACCACUGUAUCCAGUCAGCAUUACAGGUGCUAAGACCUUUCAUGGGAGUUCUUCUAGUGGCUCGGCAAGACUUGAAUCAGGAUUGUCAUGAGAAGAGGAGGCACGUGGCCACACACUGACAGCAGUAUGCUUUCCUAUGAUAAUUUACACAGUGCUGUAAUAUGGGAGAGAGACAUUUUCAAGAGCUGGCAUGGAUUGUUUUAAUACCAUGUGGUGGGGUACAAUUCAAGGAGCUUUGAAAAGAUCCACACACACUGGUGCUUCCACAUUGCAAUGGAAGCUGCAUCAUCUUCUAUAGAAUUGCCUUGCUGGAUGAGCUGGGUGACCUCAAGAGUUGAAUUUGCAGGUCAACAUGCCGGAUCUGCCUCCCAUGCCAGCUGAUGGUGCCUUUUAAAGGAAGAGCACUACUUUUUAUCAAUCCUUGAUAGCAGUGCAUAUAGAGAGGGAAUAACCUACGACAGCAAAUGCACUAAUAUGAAAAAGCAAGGAAUCUGAAUCUAUUAAAAAUGAACAAGUCACAUAAGGGUUGUAGGACAAUAUUUUAAGAAAGAUUAUAUUGCUCUCUAUAUAAAGCUUAGGCCAGUAGAUUUUAUCUCUGCUUCUUCAGCUAGAUCUUUCUGGGGAAAUGGUAUUCUACUUACAGCCUUGGUCUGGUGUGCAGAAGAAGGAUGAACAGUUUAAAACACCGUAACUGAAGCUCUUCAGAAUAGAUUAUUACCUUCCAAAGCACCAAACGAAACUAACUCACACCAAGAUGAAAUGAUUUGCCCCACAGGCCCAUAGCAGAGUUGGGAGUAAAAUUAAGGUCUUAUAAAGCCUGGUACAGAACCCUAUUCACUACCGUAAUUACAAAAUGGUAUUAGUUUAAGAAUGCUGAUAUAGGCUUAAAGAUGAUGAUAGAAGUAUGCAUAUUUGGCAUAUAGCUCCUUCUGCAGAGUGCAAUUAGGCUUGUAAGAACUGGUGUGACUUUGACUUGAGAAAAGAUUUUUAAGUGAUGGCAUGGUAUGUUUGAACUACCUAAGAACUGGCAAAUAUCAUAAUCUUGAAGAGAUCUGAAAGAAAAUACUUAAAUUAUCACUGCAGUCUCCUCC
rnacentral:lncRNA from 1 species